rnacentral:rRNA from 1 species
AUGACGCAACUGCUUCCGGUUGCAUUGAGGGGGCUUCUACCAGAAAAUGUUCGAUUAGCCAUUGUGAAGCUAUGUGCAUUCCUCAAUGCAAUUUCUCAGAAGUUAAUCGAUCGAGAAAUCCUACAAAGGUUACAGAGUGAUUUGGUCCAAUGUCUUGUCAGUUUGGAGUUGGUGUUCCCACCAUCCUUCCUCAACAUUAUGACGCACGUCCUAGUUCAGCUAGUCCAAGAGAUUGUCAUUCUACGUCUUGUAUUUCUACACAAUAUGUUCCCCUUUGAGAGGGUUCAUGGGAGUCUUAAAGAAAUAUGUCUGUUACCGUGCUAG